rnacentral:rRNA from 1 species
UAAUAUACUAUUUUAGUGUGGAGUGAAUGCCUUGGAAGAAAAAUAUAGGCGCGGACAAUCGCGAAAGUGUUGACACGAGGAAAGCCUGUGACGUCAACCAACCUAAAAUGGGAAACCGGGGCUAAAAAGCCCGCUGCUUAGGCAGUAUCAAGGGGAAGUGAAACAUCUCAGUACCCUGUAGACCAAAUCAACCGAGAUAUCGUUAGUAGUGGUGAGCGAAAGCGAUAAAAAGGCAAAACGAAAAUUUUAUUAUUAAGAAUGAAAAGAAGUUUUGUUUUUCAAUGAAAUUUCUACCUUAGAAGGUGUUAGUCCUGUAAUUCUUUUUUUUUUUCGUGAAAGUAAGACGAGGCAAGUUUACCUUGUCUGAGUAUUGGGGGACCACCCUCAAAGCCUAUAGUUAUUUUUCUUACCGAUAGUGAACAAGUACCGUGAGGGAAAGGUGAAAAAGAAGUUGCGACAGUGCAAAGAUCCUGAAACUCCAUAUUUGAGUCGGAGCUAUAAAAAGCAACGGCAUACCUUUUGUAUAAUGGGCACGUGAAUCUUAAUAAAGGGCAAGCUUAAGCUAAUAAAAGUGUAGGCGAAGAGAAAUCGAGUCCUAUGUGGCAUCCUAAAGUCCUUUGUUAAGUACCCGAAACCGGCUGAUCUAAACUUGAGCAGGCUGAUAUUGUAGUGGCAACAUUCUUUGGAGGGCCGAACCCGUGUAUGUGGCAAAAUACUGGGAUGACUUGAGUUUAGGGGUGAAAGGCCAAUCAAAGUCGGUGAUAGCUGGAUUUCUGCGAAAUCUAUUGAAGUAGAGCGUCCUAAACAGUAAAUCUGGGGUAGAGCACUGUAUAAGCAAGGGGGAGAUCUUCUCUUACUAAACUUUGGCAAACUCCGAAUACAGAUUUUUCAUUUAGGGCAGACAGAGUAUGUAUGCUAAGAUUCAUACUCAAGAGGGAAACAGCCCAGACUGUAGGCUAAGGUCCACAAAAUAGUUUCAGUGGUAAAGGUGAUAUCUGCUCUGAGACCGUCAGGAGGUAGGCUUGGAAGCAGCCAUCCUUUUAAGACAGCGUAACAGCUCACUGACCUAGAGUAGAAGUCCCGCCAAUUUUGAGGGCUUAAAACUAUUACCGAAGCCUCAGACAAAAAUGUUAAGAUAAUUAAAAACUCUUAUAUUUUGUGGUAGCAGAACAUUCCGUAGGUCGUAGAAGUUUUGACGUAAGUUAAGAUCAAGAUAUCGGAAGCGAGAAUACUUGCAUGAGUAGCAUAAAACAAUGAAAUUAAAGCAUUGUGGCCGUAAGUCCAAGGUUUACGAUCUUAAGUAAAACUGGGUCGUGAGAGGGUAACACCUCGAUUUAAAACGGUCCCUAAGCUGUUAAGCCAAAGCUUGCAGUAAUGGGUAAGAUUAAACUGUUAAAAGUUGCUGACGAAAAAUUCACCUUAUUCUUGAAUUUGUCAAGAGUGAGUUAUUUUUUCCAAGAAAAAGGCACUUUAUUUAUACCGUACCUUAAACCGCCUCAGGUGGACGGGUGGAGAACACUAAGGCCUUGAGAUAACCCUGUUGAAGGAACUCGGCAAAAUGACUCUGUAACUUCGGAAUAAGGAGUAAAGGCAUGUAGCGCAAGCUUUUGUCUUUGUCACAAAAUCGGGGGUGGCGACUGUUUAUUAAAAACACAGGUCUCUGCUAACUCGUAAGAGGAUGUAUAGGGACUGACACCUGCCCGGUGCCGGUAGGUGAAGCUUUGAUGUUUACGCAUUGAGGUCAAACCCCGGUAAACGGCGGCUGUAACUAUGACGGUCCUAAGGUAGCGAAAUUCCUUGUCGGGUAAGUUCCGACCCGCAUGAAUGGUGUAACGACUUCCCCGCUGUCUCCAACAGGGACUCAGUGAAAUUACAUAGGUCGUGAAGAUGCGACCAUCCCACAGCUGGACGGAAAGACCCCGUGCACCUUUACUAUAAGCAAAUAUUGUAGGUCAAAGACUCUAGUGUAGAAUAGGUGGGAGCUUAUGAUUCUUUCUCGUCAGAGUCUGAUGAGGCGAUAGUGAAAUACCACCCCGAGAUCUGUUGGCUUACUAACUAAGGGACAGUGUUUGCUGGGUAGUUUGACUGGGGCGGUCGCCUCCUAAAGAGUAACGGAGGCAUACAAAGGUAGGUUCAUCUCCUUCUAAGGGGAAUUGAGUAUAAUGGUAUAAACCUGCUUGACUGAAAGAAAGACAUUUCGAUCAGAGACGUAAGUCGGUCAUAGUGAUCCGGUGGUUCUUUGUGGAAAGGCCAUCGCGCAAUGGAUAAAAGGUACGCCGGGGAUAACAGGCUAAUGAUCCUCUAGAGCCCCUAUCGACGGGUUCGUUUGGCACCUCGAUGUCGACUCAUCACAUCCUGGAGCUGGAAAAGGUUCCAAGGGUUCGGCUGUUCGCCGACGAAAGUGGUACGUGAGUUGGGUUUAGAACGUCGUGAGACAGUUUGGUCCCUAUCUUCUGUGGGUGUUUGAAAAUUCCGAGGACUAGACCUUAGUACGAGAGGACCGGGAAAACUCGAUCCCUUGUGUUCCGGUUGUUCCCUAAGGGGCAUCGCCGGGUAGCUACAUCGAGAAGAGAUAAUCGACCGUUAGGCGAGAAACUCUCCUCUAGUAAAGUUUUCUAAAGGGGGUGGAAGAUUACCACUUUGAUAGGCGGGAGGUGUAAGAGCUGUAAGGUUUUCAGCUGACCCGUACUAAUCCCUAGAAAAAUAAAAUUAUAUAGUUUUUGC